rnacentral:rRNA from 1 species
ACGAACUCUGGUAUUGAUUGGUGCUUGCAUCAUGAUUUACAUUUGAGUGAGUGGCGAACUGGUGAGUAACACGUGGGAAACCUGCCCAGAAGCGGGGGAUAACACCUGGAAACAGAUGCUAAUACCGCAUAACAACUUGGACCGCAUGGUCCAAGUUUGAAAGAUGGCUUCGGCUAUCACUUUUGGAUGGUCCCGCGGCGUAUUAGCUAGAUGGUGGGGUAACGGCUCACCAUGGCAAUGAUACGUAGCCGACCUGAGAGGGUAAUCGGCCACAUUGGGACUGAGACACGGCCCAAACUCCUACGGGAGGCAGCAGUAGGGAAUCUUCCACAAUGGACGAAAGUCUGAUGGAGCAACGCCGCGUGAGUGAAGAAGGGUUUCGGCUCGUAAAACUCUGUUGUUAAAGAAGAACAUAUCUGAGAGUAACUGUUCAGGUAUUGACGGUAUUUAACCAGAAAGCCACGGCUAACUACGUGCCAGCAGCCGCGGUAAUACGUAGGUGGCAAGCGUUGUCCGGAUUUAUUGGGCGUAAAGCGAGCGCAGGCGGUUUUUUAAGUCUGAUGUGAAAGCCUUCGGCUCAACCGAAGAAGUGCAUCGGAAACUGGGAAACUUGAGUGCAGAAGAGGACAGUGGAACUCCAUGUGUAGCGGUGAAAUGCGUAGAUAUAUGGAAGAACACCAGUGGCGAAGGCGGCUGUCUGGUCUGUAACUGACGCUGAGGCUCGAAAGUAUGGGUAGCAAACAGGAUUAGAUACCCUGGUAGUCCAUACCGUAAACGAUGAAUGCUAAGUGUUGGAGGGUUUCCGCCCUUCAGUGCUGCAGCUAACGCAUUAAGCAUUCCGCC